rnacentral:rRNA from 1 species
CAAUGGCGUAUAUUAAAGUUGUUGCGGUUAAAAAGCUCGUAGUUGGAUCUCGGCAGGCAGGGGGUGGUUCGCUCUUAGCGCUACUGCCCCAUUUGCCUGUGUGAUUGGCGGAGGUUUCGGGGUGCUCUUCGUUGAGUGACCCGGGGCGCCGUCAGGUUUACUUUGAAAAAAUUAGAGUGCUCAAAGCAGGCUUUUCACGCUUGAAUAUUCGUGCAUGGAAUAAUGGAAUAGGAACUCGUUUCUAUUUUGUUGGUUUUCGGAAAUCGAGUUAAUGAUUAAUAGGGACAAUUGGGGGCAUUAGUAUUCAGACGACAGAGGUGAAAUUCUUGGACCGUCUGAAGACUAACUACUGCGAAAGCAUUUGCCAAGAGUGUUUUCAUUAA